AUGUUUAGGAUUAAACUAGGUUUUUAAAAAUUUUGCACGGAACAGCUCCAGCCCUGGUCACAUGAGAUCCACACUCAGAAUUUUAUGCACUUCCACCACCUUCUUCCAGACUAGACCACACUUCUACCACCUGAGGUCCACAGAGUCUACCCUAGAUCAGUGCCUUCCUCUGCCAUCAUCAGAGAAGCUAUCUCCUGAAGCAGAUGGGAACAAAUACAAAUACCCACAGCCAGACUACCUGUAGAGUGAGAGACCAGGGGACACUCAAGUCUAACUGGGGUAUCUACUUCAAAUCCCUCCCUUCAGAGAUCAAGGAAGCCCACAGAAGAGGAGGCAGGAGGAGUGUAAGAGCCCAAGAGGCCACAAUGGAAACAAGGAUUUCCAAACACAGCAGGUUGAGUAUACGUAUGAACUCACAGAGGCUGAGGCAGCAUGCCUAGGUUUUGCAUGGAUCGUACCAGCUUGGGUCCUAGAACUGAAAGGAGUGAAAAGAUGUCUCUACCACCAACCCAAAAUCUAUCUCCAAUUAAUGACCACUUGCAAAUGAAAAUUUAGUUUUCUCCAAGUGAGUCUCAACAGGUAAACAACCUACACUUAACGAUAGUCUCCAUGCCUAGAAGUAAAAAGUCAACAAAAAACCAACUCAGAGGCAUCUCCAAAGGUUCUGUGUUUCUUACUGUUGUGUCAGAGCUUUAAUUUUUCCUCCUUUUAGUUAAAAAUAUAACUUAAUAUUUAAUUAUCAUUAUCGUCAGCACCACCACCAUCAUCAUCAUUAUUCAUUAUGUACAUUACUUACAGGUCUUUUGCAUACAGAUUACGGCUUCUUGUUUUAUGUUUCUAUAGGAUUCCUGAGCAUGAGAACAAGUGGGUCUUGUGUCUUGGUUUCUUGUGACAUUCUUAUGCUCACUUCCUCUGUUUUUUGUUUUGUUUUGUUUUAUCUUAUUAUAUGUCAUUAUUAUCCCUUAGGUGCCUGUUUGGUAUCUAGUGAGAGACAGAAGGGGAGUGAAUCCUGAUCAGAGAGGAGGUAGGGAGAACCUGGAAGAAGCAGAGGGAGGGAAAGCAUAAUCAGACUAUUUGUAUGAAAACAAUAUAUUUUUCAAAAAGAGAAAAAAAGUCUAAAUAAAAACUUUGUAACAAACUA